rnacentral:lncRNA from 1 species
UUGAGGAUGUGGGUGCCGAUUCAACCGAGGAUGAUGGAGAGGACGAAGGAGAGGAGUAUUAGAUUUCGAUGACACUAAGCAUACAUAGCACUCGCAGUUUCGAUCAUGCAGCAAACCCUCACUUUGAAAGUACCGACUCAUUCAACACAACACGCUGACACCUUCAUGCAAAUUUGUAGCAAGAUUCGUGACACUGCUGUUUUGGGAAACCUGAGAUGCUUUAUGGGAACAUUACACUUUCAACUUUGGUUUGAUUGUUGUAAUGGGAUUGUGCUCAUCGGCAGCGUGACACUGCUCCAUAGUUGUGGAGAUCACUUUUUAUCAGGGAGAUGAACACAUUCUUAUCUGAUUAGAUUUUUGUUUUGAUAACUUGGUCUGGUCGAUGUGAUGGUGAAUUGUCGACUAUUCCUUCAGAAGAAUGCCAUUGCCUUGCACUGAAAAAUAUAUUGCACAAAAAUUCCUGUUGGCUUCCCUGCCAGAGACUGCCCUCUCCACAGUCCCCUCGUGGAAUCGGAAAAUGCCUUCAUUUGUGCUGAUAUUGUUCCGUAUCGAGUUGGAAUUCCGAACAAAAAUGCAUCAGCUUCCAGUAACUGUGCAGCUGUGAUGACGGGAAUCAAUUCAUCCUUGGGUAGAGCAGUUACCUUUGUCAAAACAUCAGCUGGUAGCGUGCUAAGCUGGAGUGGUACAAGCCCAGCCAUCGCUCUACCUACUAUGACUUCAAGCAUAAUCUAGUGAGUAAGUUUUGGUUAUCAAAUUUAAUGUAUAUUAUUGGAAACAUUAUAUGUAUUAAAAUGAUUAAUUUAACACAAUAUAUUGUGUAUACAAGAGUGAUACCAAGAGUUGUAACUCUUGGUGUAAGGUCAAUACUUAAUAGAGACUAAUGUAUUAUAUGGAAUAAUUCUUCCAAUAUUCCCACUAUGACACUAAUCUUCAUUCUUAAAUUAAAUUUCAUCUAUAGUGGAUGUUUAUCUAUUUAUAGAAUGAAUAUGUGUGAGAAAUAUAUGAUUUCAAUUUCCUUUUUGGUGUUGAUAUUUUAUUCCAAAGUUUGAUGUGUCUUUUAUAUAUCUCAUAGUUCUUUUUAAAGUUUG